CGUUUGUACCGAUCCCUUCCCGAAGGACCUGGUGCCGAGAAUGAUGGCGCGGCGAUGAUCCUGUAGUGCGCCGGCAACAAUCUCCGAAGCCGAAGCCGACCCUUCGUUGAUGAGAACAACAAUGGGUUUUUCGUUCAUUAGAUCGCCGAGCUUCGCGUUGUAGCGCUGGGUCUCUUCGGGGUCGUUGGAGCGCGUGGAGACAAUCUCACCUUUAUCCAGAAACGCGUCGGAAACGGAAACAGCCUGAUCCAGCAGACCCCCUGGGUUAUUC
rnacentral:ncRNA from 1 species